ACAAAGUUUAGGGUAAAUAUAAUUUACCUUUUACUAAUAUUGUUCUUAACAUUUCAAAUAUAGCAUUAUGUGGGUUUCCUUUUUUUAGCUGGAUUCUAUUCAAAAUAUUUUAUUAUUGAGGUUUUAUCAAGUAAGAAUAUAAAGUUAUUGAUGGGGUUAAUUGAUAAAUUUGGAGUGUGUUUAACUAUGUUAUAUCUAAUGCGAAUAUCUAUUUAUAUUG